UACGUAGGUGGCAAGCGUUGUCCGGAUUUACUGGGUGUAAAGGGCGUGCAGCCGGGCUGACAAGUCAGAUGUGAAAUCCCGCGGCUCAACCGCGGAACUGCAUUUGAAACUGCUUCCCUUGAGUAUCGGAGAGGUAACCGGAAUUCCUAGUGUAGCGGUGAAAUGCGUAGAUAUUAGGAGGAACACCAGUGGCGAAGGCGGCUUGCUGGACGGUAACUGACGUUGAGGCUCGAAAGCGUGGGGAGCAAACAGG
rnacentral:rRNA from 1 species